rnacentral:rRNA from 1 species
AGAGUUUGAUCAUGGCUCAGGAUGAACGCUGGCGGUAUGCCUAACACAUGCAAGUCGAACGAUGUCUUCGGACAUAGUGGCGGACGGGUGAGUAACGCGUGAGAAUCUGCCUCUAGGAUGGGGAUAACGGUUGGAAACGACCGCUAACACCCAAUAUGCCGUAAGGUGAAAAAUUUAUUGCCUGGAGAGGAGCUCGCGUCUGAUUAGCUAGUUGGUGGGGUAAGAGCUCACCAAGGCUUCGAUCAGUAGCUGGUCUGAGAGGAUGAGCAGCCACACUGGGACUGAGACACGGCCCAGACUCCUACGGGAGGCAGCAGUGGGGAAUUUUCCGCAAUGGGCGAAAGCCUGACGGAGCAAUACCGCGUGAGGGAGGAAUGCCUUUGGGUUGUAAACCUCUUUUCUCAGGGAAGAAGAUCUGACGGUACCUGAGGAAUAAGUAUCGGCUAACUCCGUGCCAGCAGCCGCGGUAAUACGGAGGAUGCAAGCGUUAUCCGGAAUCAUUGGGCGUAAAGCGUCCGCAGGUGGUUUCCAAAGUCUGCUGUUAAAGACUGGAGCUCAACUCCGGAACGGCGGUGGAAACUUGGAAACUAGAGUUCGGUAGGGGUAGCAGGAAUUCCCAGUGUAGCGGUGAAAUGCGUAGAUAUUGGGAAGAACAUCGGUGGCGAAGGCGUGCUACUGGACCGUAACUGACACUCAGGGACGAAAGCUAGGGGAGCGAAAGGGAUUAGAUACCCCUGUAGUCCUAGCUGUAAACGAUGGAAACUAGGUGUGGCUUGUAUCGACCCGAGCCGUGCCGUAGCUAACGCGUUAAGUUUCCCGCCUGGGG